ACAAAGAAAUUAAAAUAAAUAACAGACUGUAUAUGUUACCGACCGUCUCUAGAGCAAGUGAGAAAGGGUUUGCUGGUUGGUACCCGAGACCCAAGUUCGAAUCCUAGUUGAUUCACAUUUCUAGCUAAGUUUAUUUCUAAAUGAAAUAAACGAAGCGGGUAGCGUGCUACGUAUCUCUCAAAUAAUAAUAAUAAUAAUAACAGACUAUAUAUGUUAGAC
rnacentral:lncRNA from 1 species